rnacentral:rRNA from 1 species
GAGUUUGAUCCUGGCUCAGAGUGAACGCUGGCGGCAGGCCUAACACAUGCAAGUCGAACGGCAGCACAGGGAGCUUGCUCCUGGGUGGCGAGUGGCGGACGGGUGAGGAAUACAUCGGAAUCUGCCCUGUCGUGGGGGAUAACGUAGGGAAACUUACGCUAAUACCGCAUACGACCUUCGGGUGAAGAGGGGGAGUACGCAAGACCUCUCGCGAUUGGAUGAGCCGAUGUCGGAUUAGCUAGUUGGCGGGGUAAAGGCCCGACCAAGGCGACGAUCCGUAGCUGGUCUGAGAGGAUGAUCAGCCACACUGGAACUGAGACACGGUCCAGACUCCUACGGGAGGCAGCAGUGGGGAAUAUUGGACAAUGGGCGCAAGCCUGAUCCAGCCAUGCCGCGUGAGUGAAGAAGGCCUUCGGGUUGUAAAG